rnacentral:rRNA from 1 species
CACAAGCGGUGGAUGAUGUGGUUUAAUUCGAUGCAACGCGAAAACCUUACCUACCCUUGACAUGUCCGGAAUCCCGAAGAGAUUUGGGAGUGCUCGCAAGAGAACCGGAACACAGGUGCUGCAUGGCUGUCGUCAGCUCGUGUCGUGAGAUGUUGGGUUAAGUCCCGCAACGAGCGCAACCCUUGUCAUUAGUUGCCAUCAUUUGGUUGGGCACUCUAAUGAGACUGCCGGUGACAAACCGGAGGAAGGUGGGGAUGACGUCAAGUCCUCAUGGCCCUUAUGGGUAGGGCUUCACACGUCAUACAAUGGUCGGUACAGAGGGUUGCCAACCCGCGAGGGGGAGCUAAUCCCACAAAGCCGAUCGUAGUCCGGAUCGCAGUCUGCAACUCGACUGCGUGAAGUCGGAAUCGCUAGUAAUCGUGGAUCAGCAUGUCACGGUGAAUACGUUCCCGGGUCUU